GAUGAAUGCUGGCGGCGUGGAUAAGGCAUGCAAGUCGAACGAAGCAUCCUUUAGAAGUUAGUGCGAUUACAUCAAGCUGGCUACUGUUGGAUGCUGAGUGGCGAACGAGUUAGUAACAUCUUGGUACGUACCUCGUAGCCGGGCACAACGGGUCGAAAGAUCCGCUAAUUCCCGAUAGUCCCGCAAGGGUAAAGGCGCAAGCCACUAUGAGAGCGGCCUAGAUCCUAUCAGCUUGUUGGCGGGGUAAUGGCCCACCAAGGCUUUGACGGGUAGGGGUGUGAGAGCAUGACCCUCAACGACGAAACUGAGACACGGUUCGUACACCUACGGGUGGCAG
rnacentral:rRNA from 1 species